rnacentral:rRNA from 1 species
AACGGAGCUUAGAGAGCUUGCUUUUUAAGCUUAGUGGCGAACGGGUGCGUAACGCGUGAGCAAUCUGUCCUCAAGAGGGGGAUAACAACUGGAAACAGUUGCUAAUACCGCACGAGACCACAAGUUCACAUGGACAAGGGGUUAAAGGAGAAAUCCGCUUGAGGGUGAGCUCGCGUCCCAUUAGAUAGUUGGUGAGGUAACGGCCCACCAAGUCGACGAUGGGUAGCCGAUCUGAGAGGAUGACCGGCCACAUUGGAACUGAGAAACGGUCCAGACUCC